UCAGCUCCAGGACUCAACAUCAUGGAGUAUACAGUGAAUUAUAGCGUGAUAAAGUUAUAAUUUUCACUAAAUUUUCAACUGCACACAAUUACCAGUGAACUGUGUGUAAAUCAUCAACUGCCUGUGUAUCAGCUGAUUUCUACACCAGCUUUACAUCCUGAGCAGAAGAUUGUCGUGGAGAGGACGGACCCUUGAUGCUCUGCCUUUUUGCACCAACAAUACAUACAUGUAUUUUAUUAAUUUGUAAAUAAAGUCUUUAAUAUAA